rnacentral:rRNA from 1 species
UACGAAGGGUGCAAGCGUUACUCGGAAUUACUGGGCGUAAAGAGCUCGUAGGCGGUUUGUCGCGUCGGCUGUGAAAACUCGGGGCUCAACCCCGAGCCUGCAGUCGAUACGGGCAGACUAGAGUGCUGUAGGGGAGACUGGAAUUCCUGGUGUAGCGGUGAAAUGCGCAGAUAUCAGGAGGAACACCGGUGGCGAAGGCGGGUCUCUGGGCAGUAACUGACGCUGAGGAGCGAAAGCGUGGGGAGCGAACAGG